rnacentral:misc_RNA from 1 species
AAAGAACUCGACAGAUUGGCAGUGGUAGCGAUGGCCGGGCUAGCAGCAGAAGGGCUAAAGUAUGAUAAAGUUGUCGGUCAAUCAGCUGACCUUUUCACUCUUCAGAGAUUUCUAAACAGGAGCAAGCCGUCGCUUAGCAAAGACCAGCAGCAGAACUUUACAAGAUGGGCGGUUUUAUUUGCUGCUUCACUACUGAAAAAUAAUAGCAAGCUUCAUGAAGCCCUAAUAGCGGCAAUGACAAACAAGGCAUCGGUCGUAGACUGCAUAGAAG